UACGUAGGGGGCAAGCGUUGUCCGGAAUCAUUGGGCGUAAAGCGCGCGUAGGCGGCCUCGUAAGUCCGCUGUGAAAGUCAAAGGCUCAACCUUUGAAUGCCGGUGGAUACUGCGAGGCUAGAGUCCGGAAGAGGUGAGUGGAACUCCUGGUGUAGCGGUGGAAUGCGCAGAUAUCAGGAAGAACACCAACGGCGAAGGCAGCUCGCUAGGACGGUACUGACGCUAAGGCGCGAAAGCGUGGGGAGCAAACAGG
rnacentral:rRNA from 1 species